CAUUGCCAGGAAGAAAAUGAGGUUGUGCUGGAAUCACCAGGAGGACAGACGGACUUGUGGGAGUCAAGUGGGUUUGUGCCCUCAGCGAUGGUGGCUGGAAGUCAGCUACGAGAGCUGUUAUUGCCAGCCUGCUACAACGAGAACAGUCUUGUGGUGUCUACAAGAUGGAUGAAUUUAAAAUGAUGGUUGCUCCUUCAAGAACCUGUAAACACGAAGGCCCAAAUUUCAGCCAAACUCUUCCCUUGUCUCAUGAGUGGUGACUUAGAUGAAGCCAGCUGCCUAUCCCUUUAAACACUUUUGUGAGGCGAUACAAGCAAUAAUAUGAAGCUCACUUAUGAGGCCUGCAUAAAAUGAUAACAUGAUUGACUUGCAAGAUGGCUCUGUGCCCACAGUGCCAGCACCAGGAGCUUGGAGAAGACACAGAAGGGAAGAGCUUGAAAGAAAAAUUACCUGGAAAAUCAAAUAGGUCAAGGUCUGGCCUUAAACGUGCUGAGGAAUCCUAUGAGAAGUCCUUCUCUGACCAUACUGUUUUCUUUUGCAAAGCUGGUUAUGUCUGUGGGAUUGGGCAUGAGGAAUGGUGGACUUCCAUGAGUCCAAGGGAAGGGGGGCUGUGCUGAUGGUAAAUAUCAGCGCUAUCUUUCUAAAGGCGAGGACAGUUACAGACCCACUGUUCAUUACUUUGGAUGUGUCACAUUUGCUAGUAUGACAAGAUGUAUUAUGGACGAGGAAUUUUACAGAUGGAGAGAAAUAUCCAUUGGUCAAUGUGAACGUAGAGGACUCUGACCAGUCCAAGGCACCUCCGGCUUGGAGGACUCAGAAAUAGAUGUUUUUUUGUGCUGGUCUGCAAGAGUUAUGAGCUGGAAGUACCGAGAUCCAAAACAGAGGAGGUACGCAGGAGUUACUCCGUUGCUGUCUAGUAAGGGGCAAUGUUG